rnacentral:rRNA from 1 species
UUUACUGAGAGUUUGAUCCUGGCUCAGGACGAACGCUGGCGGCGUGCCUAAUACAUGCAAGUCGUGCGGACCUUUUAAAAGCUUGCUUUUAAAAGGUUAGCGGCGGACGGGUGAGUAACACGUGGGCAACCUGCCUGUAAGACCGGGAUAACGCCGGGAAACCGGGGCUAAUACCGGAUAGUUUUUUCCUCCGCAUGGAGGAAAAAGGAAAGGCGGCUUCGGCUGCCACUUACAGAUGGGCCCGCGGCGCAUUAGCUAGUUGGCGGGGUAACGGCCCACCAAGGCAACGAUGCGUAGCCGACCUGAGAGGGUGAUCGGCCACAUUGGGACUGAGACACGGCCCAAACUCCUACGGGAGGCAGCAGUAGGGAAUCUUCCGCAAUGGACGAAAGUCUGACGG